ensembl:lncRNA LINC01503 long intergenic non-protein coding RNA 1503
ACUUGGGAAGCUGAGGCAGGAGAAUCGCUUGAACCUGGGAGGCGGAGGUUGCAGUGAGCUGAGAUCACGCUACUCCAGCCUGGGCAGAGCAAGACUCCAUCUCAAAAAAAAAAAAAAAAAAAAAAAAGGGAUAGCGGUAAAAAGACAGCUACUCCGUAGACAGAGUAGGAUGUUCCUGAAAGUAAGAGGAGGAGCGAGGAACGCAUCCACCCUAGGGGCUCGGAAUACCCACCUUUCUGGUAAUGCAGCCCAGCGGGUCCCAGCCUCGUUUUCCAGCCCUCACUCAAAAUGGAGUCGCUCUGGUUCGAACGCCUCUGACAAGUGUGUACCUACGUGUCAGGGUUGGAGUGCCAUGGUGUGGUCAUAGCCCACUGAAGCCUCAAACCUCUGGGCUGAAGCCAUCCUUCCGCCUCAGCCUCCCAAGUAGCUGGGACCAUAGGUGCAUGGCACUGUGCCUGGCACUGUCUGAAUGCAUACAGCUGCGUAGCAUCGUGGUAAGAACACCCGCCCUGACAUCACACAGACCUGCAUCCACGUCCCAGCUGAGCCUCAGUUCUCACAUCUGCAAAAUGGGGAGAACAACAGCAGCAGCGUCCUGAGGCUGGGGUGAGGACCGAGUGAAAAACCUUUGUCGCAUCUUUGGGCAUCGCAGGAGUUCAAUAAAUGUUAGCUAUCGU